rnacentral:rRNA from 1 species
AAGGNCUAACCUGCCCAAUGAGGAUUUUAAUGGCCGCAGUAUUUUGACUGUGCAAAGGUAGCAUAAUUAAUAGUUUUUUAAUUAAAAGCUUGUAUGAAGGGUUGGACGAGAUAAAAUCUGUCUCUAUUUAAAUUAAAGUAGAAUUUAACUUUUAAGUUAAAAGGCUUAAAUUCUUAUAAAAGACGAGAAGACCCUAUAGAUCUUUAUUUAAUUAAAAUUUUAAUAAUUUAAGAUUAUUUUAAUUUAAAAUUUUGAUUAAAUUUUAUUGGGGUAAUAUAAAGAUUAAAAUAAUUCUUUUUGUUAAUUACAUUAAUUUAUGAAUAUAAGAUCCAGUAUUAUUGAUCAUAAGAUUAAGUUACCUUAGGGAUAACAGCGUAAUUUUUUUGGAGAGCUCAUAUCGAUAAAAAAGUUUGCGACCUCGAUGUUGGAUUAAAAAUUAGCUUGGGUGCAGAAGCUCAAGAUUUUGGUCUGUUCGACCAUUAAAUUUUUACAUGAUCUGAGUUCAGACCGGUGUAAGCCAGGUCGGUUUCUAUCUUUAUUUGAUUAAAAUAUUUUAGUACGAAAGGACCAAGUAUUUAAUAUAGUUAUA